GACGAACGCUGGCGGCGUGCUUAACACAUGCAAGUCGAACGGAAAGGCCCUGCUUUUGUGGGGUGCUCGAGUGGCGAACGGGUGAGUAACACGUGAGUAACCUGCCCUUGACUUUGGGAUAACUUCAGGAAACUGGGGCUAAUACCGGAUAGGAGCUCCUGCUGCAUGGUGGGGGUUGGAAAGUUUCGGCGGUUGGGGAUGGACUCGCGGCUUAUCAGCUUGUUGGUGGGGUAGUGGCUUACCAAGGCUUUGACGGGUAGCCGGCCUGAGAGGGUGACCGGCGACAUUGGGACUGAGAGACGGAGCAGACUCCUACGGGAGGCAGCAGGGGGGAAUAUUGCACAAUGGGCGGAAGCCUGAGGCAGCAACGCCGCGUGCGGGAUGACGGCCUUCGGGUUGUAAACCGCUUUCGGCUGUGACGAAGCUUGAGUGACGGUAAUGGGUAAAGAAGCACCGGCUAACUACGUG
rnacentral:rRNA from 1 species